rnacentral:lncRNA from 1 species
CUUCCAGGUUGUUACAAUAAAUUAAGAAAUGCUGAAGUUCUGUUGUGAUGAAAAGAAUAGAAAACUGUAGAAUAAAUUCAUGUUUUCUGUCUUCAGGUUUGGCCAGCUUACGAUGAAUAAGGCAUUGGAAUAUGCAUGAAAAAAAGGAGGAAAAAGAAUUUGAGCUGCUCUUUCUAGAAAGGGUGGAUUACUGCCCCAUCUGAGAGCUACGUAAGGCUUCCAGAAUCCAAUAGCCACUUAUGGCUUUCCUAAUAUUCAUCCUGACUUGCUGACUGCUCACCAAAGCACUGAGUGCUCUUAGCUGUCACUGUGCAAUUUCCUGGCUAAAGGAGAUCUGGAAUGUAAAAGUAUUCAUCACCAGAGGUUUUGCUGGAUUCCAGGACUUCAAUGAAGCAGCUGAGGCCAACUUGUCUAUAAUUGCUCGAGUAGGUUAAAGGAGAGGACAGAUGAUUGCAGGUGAUUAAAUUGGUACAUCAUAGCAAGUUACUAUC